AAUCAACGCUGGCGGCGUGCCUAACACAUGCAAGUCGAACGAGAAAGUCCCCGCAAGGGGAUGAGUACAGUGGCGACCGGGUGAGUAACACGUGACUAACCUACCCUGAAGCGGGGAAUAACCUCGGGAAACCGGGGCUAUACCGCAUACCUUCCAGAGGGGAAGCUCCUGUGGAGGAAACGAGCAAUCGGCUUUAGGAGGGGGUCGCGCCCGAUUACGGUAGUUGGCGGGGUAAGUGGCCCA
rnacentral:rRNA from 1 species